rnacentral:tRNA from 2 species
GCCCGGGUAGCUCAGUUGGUAGAGCAGCGGACUGAAAAUCCGCGUGUCGGUGGUUCGAGUCCGCCUCCGGGCACCA